AAGGUAACAAAAUCAGUGUCAAUUCAUGUCCUUGGUAAGAGUUCCUUUCAUCAUCUUGUUCCCCACUUUGGAAUUUGGUAGCAAUAUAAUUGACACCAACUGUUUUGGGAUCUAGCCAAAAAUGGGACUGAAAUAGAUAAGGUUUUAUUUCCCAUUAUAAUAAUAUAGAUAUUAUUAUUUGCAUUUCAUCUGUUUAUAAGGAGUUGUGUUAGUCCCCUUUUCAUUGUGACCAAAAUACCUGACAACAGCCAACUUAGAGGAGGGAAAAUUUAUACUAGGCUCAGUGUUUCAGAGGUUCUGUCCAUGGUCAGCCAUUUCCAUUGUUCUGGGCCUAAGAAGGAAGAACAUCAUGGUUGAAGGGCAUGACAGAGGAAAACUGCUUAGUUCAUAACAUCAGGGGAGGGGAGAGAGAGAGAGAGAGAGAGAGAGAGAGAGAGAGAGAGAGAGAGAGAGAGAGAGAGAGAGCCAGCCAGCCAGGACUGAACAUAGUUCAAGGCCACACCCUAGUGUGACAUAGUUCCUCCAGACAUGCCCACCCACCUAUAAUUACUACCUAGUACUCCAUUCAAAUUAUCAAUCCAGCAAAUAGAUUAAUCCACUGAUAUGGUUACAGCUCUACUAAUCCAAUGUUCACCUCUGAACAUUGUUGCAUUGCCUAACACAUGAGCUUUUCAGGGGAUACCUCCAAUAUUCAAACCAUAACUGCUGUAUAUUUUAUUUUCUGAUUUCAGUCUUCCCACCCUCUCUAUUGUUCAUGCUCAUGCUUUGAUUUAUUCUAGUUAUAAAUUUUGAAAAGUGUGUCUGCAGGGCAGUUGGGAAGGGCUGAGAAUAAUUAGUCUCACUUGCAAGGUGCUUUCAAGGCAGGUUGUUGAGGAUGAUCAAACAAAGCAGGAAUACCUUUAUUCAUCUAGUGGAAGAAGAGCUGAUUUGGUUGAUAAGGAAGACCCAGUAAAGGUUGAAAGUAGGGUUGCUAUGAAUAAGAGUUCCAUUUCCUCUUUCCUUUUCAUGGCUUCCUCUUCCUCCUAGGUCCUCCAUACUGAUCAUUUCUAAAGACCGAGCCCUAAAUUUCUGGUCCUCAUCACACAGCAUAUGAGACCAUGCCAGCUAGAAGGGAUCUCUCCUGUUCUGGUCAUUGAUGCCAGCAGUCUCAACCCCUUUUGUGGACUUUAACAGAGGCUAAAUUUCCCUUUCCCCUUACCUGUGUGUGUGUGUGUGUGUGUGUGUGUGUGUGAGAGAGAGAGAGAGAGAGAGAGAGAGAGAGAGAUGGGGUUGGG
rnacentral:lncRNA from 1 species